CAAGAGCCUUGUCCCCAAUGGCUUUCGUUGCCCAGCCUGUACUACCAUCUUUUCGGAUCGCUGCCAAAGUACAGAGAUGGUAAACUGUCUGGGUCCACAAUCCCGCUGCUUUGACAUUGGAGUUUUCAUAAAACCUCCUAAACCCCUGGAAAUAUUUGAAAACCUUGGACUACCCGGGAGUGUCCGAGGCUGUGGAACAACAGAUUAUUGUCUUGACAAAAUAGGAGAAAAACAACUGCUUGGUGGCUUAAUUAACCUCAACAUCACUCAUGAAGAAUGCUUCACCCCUGAAGCAGACCAGCUUGACCUUGACGAGGAAGCAAAAAAGGAAGCCUAAUUAACCUCAGCAUCACUCAUGAAGAAUGCUUCACCCCUGAAGUAGACAUGUUUGACCUUGACAAGGAAGCCAAGAAGAAGAGAUUCCACCAUGCGCAGAACAGGAGAAACACACAUGAAUUCUAGGGGACAAUGCUGACAAAGCUGAGGCUCUUUCUGCACUUACCUUUAGUAAAUCUGGAUCAGUGGGUUCGGAAUAGCCUAGUCCACUCACCCCAUCCACAGGAAGGCAUGGGCAGGAUCAGCCCAUGCCAUGGCCACGAAGAUCACGCUGCACCCCUGUGCCCCCAAGGGCUAGGAACAAAAGUGCCUAGCCUUGGGAAUUCUGGGAGGUGCUAAGGCACACUGCUGAAAUGUGCCCCUUGGUAGCCCUGAACACAAGAAGCAUGUCUUCUGCAAGCCUCCCGUGUUCCAGAUCAGGACCACACUGGUCUGCUGCAAAACCCAAUUAAACAAGUCUAUCAGUCAUCCAGAUUAAGGUCUCCCUUAAUCCGAAUCAUGCUCUCUCUGAUGCCCUUAAUCCAGGCCCUUAAUCCAGUUUAAGGGUGCAUGCAGGAAGGCCCUUCCUCUUUCUGGGUAAUGAUGGUGAAUGGGGACUUGCAGGACCUAUAAUAGUAAGGCAGCAAAAAGAUCCAACCAAAUAUACUGGUUGCUGUGAUGUCCCGCCUUAUUUACUAUAACUUUCCAUUAAAUACCAUUUACCUAUGAUUAAUUUUCCUUUCUUUCUUUCCCCUUUCUUGUCACACUUUCUUCACUCCCUUACUUCAAUGUUCA
rnacentral:lncRNA from 1 species